AAAAAAAGAAAACGGAGGGAUUUCUUUGAAACAAAAUUAAAUGCGUCGAUGAUGACGAAUGGAUGUGGAUAAUGUUAGGAUUAUCUCAUGCGCGGUUCUGUAAGGCCCGGGGGAUGAUGACGAACCAGCCAGAUAUUAAAUUGGUGUACCGCAACGUCUGAUUCUGGUGUGCCAAUAAGUUUAUCCACAAAGCAGUCAAGCAACGUGAGACGACGACAUGCAGCUAUGAAUCAGAUACUUCAGGUGGAUGAAGAUGUUAGUCACUCCUAGAACUUGCAUAGUGGACUUGCCAGGUAAAUGGGCUUCCUUUUAGACAUCAUCGAAAUGUAAAG